GACGAACGCUGGCGGCGUGCUUAACACAUGCAAGUCGAACGGUGAAGCGCCUUCCUUUUUGGUGGGUGUGGAUGAGUGGCGAACGGGUGAGUAACACGUGAGUAACCUGCCCCCUUCUUCUGGAUAACCGCAUGGAAGUGUGGCUAAUACGGGAUAUUCUGGGUCUGUCGCAUGAUGGGUCUGGGAAAGAUAUUGUUUCGGUGGGGGAUGGGCUCGCGGCCUAUCAGCUUGUUGGUGGGGUGAUGGCCUACCGAGGCGGUGACGGGUAGCCGGCCUGAGAGGGUGGACGGUCACACUGGGACUGAGACACGGCCCAGACUCCUACGGGAGGCAGCAGUGGGGAAUAUUGCACAAUGGGCGCAAGCCUGAUGCAGCGACGCCGCGUGAGGGAUGGAGGCCUUCGGGUUGUGAACCUCUUUCGCCAGUGAAGCAGGCCUGCCUCGUUUGUGGGUGGGUUGACGGUAGCUGGAUAAGAAGCGCCGGCUAACUACGUG
rnacentral:rRNA from 1 species